UCAUCCAUGUCACUGGAUGAAUCUAGGGUUAUGGAAAAAGAGCUACCCCAACAAUGUAGACGAAAUGCUUACAGCAUGGAGAAAGAAUCGUGAGAAGGUGGCCCUUCUGGUAACCACAACCAGUAAGCUAG
rfam:Legionella drancourtii LLAP12 genomic scaffold scf_34, whole genome shotgun sequence.